rnacentral:misc_RNA from 1 species
GAUGAAGAACGUAGCGAACUGCGAUAAGUAAUGUGAAUUGCAGAAUUCAGUGAAUCAUCGAGUCUUUGAACGCACAUUGCGCCCCCUGGCAUUCCGGGGGCAUGCCUGUCCGAGCGUCAUUGCUGCCCUUCAAGCCCGGCUUGUGUGUUGGGUCGUCGUCCCCCCCGGGGGACGGGCCCGAAAGGCAGCGGCGGCACCGCGUCCGGUCCUCGAGCGUAUGGGGCUUUGUCACCCGCUCGAUUAGGGCCGGCCGGGCGCCAGCCGGCGUCUCCAACCUUCUAUUUUACCAGGUUGACCUCGGAUCAGGUAGGGAUACCCGCUGAACUUAAGCAUAUCAAUAAGCGGAGGA